GACGAACGCUGGCGGCGUGCCUAAUACAUGCAAGUCGAACGCUUCUUUCCUCCCGAGUGCUUGCACUCAAUUGGAAAGAGGAGUGGCGGACGGGUGAGUAACACGUGGGUAACCUACCCAUCAGAGGGGGAUACACAUUGAAACAGGUGCUAAUAACGCCAUACAGUUUAAGGCACAUGGUAUUAGAGUCAAAGGCGCUUUCGGGAGUCGCUGAUGGAUGGACCCGCGGUGCAUUAGCUAGUUGGUGAGGUAACGGCUCACCAAGGCGACGAUGCGUAGCCGACCUGAGAGGGUGAUCGGCCACACUGGGACUGAGACACGGCCCAGACUCCUACGGGAGGCAGCAGUAGGGAAUCUUCGGCAAAGGACGAAAGUCUGACCGAGCAACGCCGCGUGAGUGAAGAAGGUUUUCGGAUCGUAAAACUCUGUUGUUAGAGAAGAACAAGGACGUUAGUAACUGAACGUCCCCUGACGGUAUCUAACCAGAAAGCCACGGCUAACUACGUG
rnacentral:rRNA from 1 species